rnacentral:rRNA from 1 species
AACUCGGGGCCUCACGGCUUACGAGAUUGCAAUGAGAACAAUUUAAAAUACUUAACGAGGAACAAUUGGAGGGCAAGUCUGGUGCCAGCAGCCGCGGUAAUUCCAGCUCCAAUAGCGUAUAUUAAAGUUGUUGCAGUUAAAAAGCUCGUAGUUGAAUUUAUGACGAUUGCGUAAACUGGCUUCGGUCGUCUACGUGGUCGUCAUCCGCUUGGGAACCCCGUUCGGUCUUCAUUGGUCGGCGGGAGGAUCAGGCAUUUUACUUUGAAAAGAAAUAAGAGUGUUCAAGGCAGGCAAUCGCCAUGAAUACAAAAGCAUGGAAUAAUGGAAUAGGACUGUGAUCCAUUUUAUUGGUUAUUGGAUUACAGUAAUGAUUAAUAGGGACAGUUGGGGGCAUUAGUAUUUAAUUGUCAGAGGUGAAAUUCUUGGAUUACUUAAAGACUAACUUAUGCGAAAGCAUUUGCCAAGGAUGUUUUCAUUAAUCAAGAACGAAAGUUAGGGGAUCAAAGACGAUCAGAUACCGUCCUAGUCUUAACUAUAAACUAUGCCGACUAGGGAUUGGCUGGGUCUCUCGAGCCCAGUCAGCACCUUAUGAGAAAUCAAAGUCUUUGGGUUCUGGGGGGAGUAUGGUCGCAAGGCUGAAACUUAAAGGAAUUGACGGAAGGGCACCACCAGGAGUGGAGCCUGCGGCUUAAUUUGACCCAACACGGGGAAACUUACCAGGUCAAGACAUGGGUGGGAUUGACAGAUUGAGAGCUCUUUCUUGAUUCUAUGGGUGUGGUGCAUGGCCGUUCUUAGUUGGUGGAGUGAUUUGUCUGGUUGAUUCCGUUAACGAACGAGACCUUAACCUGCUAACUAGUUGCCCUAUGAAUAAUGGGGUUAACUUCUUAGAGGGACUAUACGUUCAAGCGUAUGGAAGUUUGAGGCAAUAACAGGUCAGUGAUGCCCUUAGAUGUCCUGGGCCGCACGCGCGCUACACUGACACAUGCAACGAGUACAACCUGGUCCGACAGGACUCGGGUAAUCUUCAUAGUAUGUGUCGUGCUGGGGAUUGAUCUUUGCAAUUAUAGAUCAUGAACGAGGAAUUCCUAGUAAGCAUAAGUCAUCAGCUUGUGCUGAUUACGUCCCUGCCCUUUGUACACACCGCCCGUCGCUCCUACCGAUUGAGUGAUUCGGUGAACUUUCUGGACUGUUUUAGUCUUCAAGGCUAGAACGGGAAGUUAAGUAAACCAUAUCUCUUAGAGGAAGAAGAAGUCGUAACAAGGUU